AUGACUGCUUGCCUACCAACCCCUGUCUAAAUGGUGGCACCUGUAUAGAUUUGGUCAACGAGGUCUUUUGUGUAUGCCUGAACGGAUUUUCGGGUACAAAUUGUGAAAUAGACAUCGAUGAAUGUGAUCCAGAUCCGUGUGUGAACGGAGGGUGUGUUCCUACUGUAGGAUUGGCAACCUACACCUGUAUUUGCGAUCAAGGCUUUACGGGACAAAACUGUGAAACUAAUAUAAAUGAAUGCAACUCGGUCCCAUGCCAAAAUGGUGGUACCUGUAUAGACGCUCUUGCAAGCUAUGUGUGUCAAUGUACUACUGGUUUCGACGGGCCGAACUGUG